GAUGAACGCUGGCGGCGUGCUUAACACAUGCAAGUCGAACGAAGCGCUUUAACGGAACUCUUCGGAGGGAAGUUAUUGUGACUGAGUGGCGGACGGGUGAGUAACGCGUGGGUAACCUGCCUUGCACAGGGGGAUAACAGUUAGAAAUGACUGCUAAUACCGCAUAACCCGCUAGUACCGCAUGGUACAGACGGAAAAGAUUUAUCGGUGUAAGAUGGACCCGCGUCUGAUUAGCUGGUUGGUGAGGUAACGGCUAACCAAGGCGACGAUCAGUAGCCGGCGUGAGAGAGUGGACGGCCACAUUGGGACUGAGACACGGCCCAGACUCCGACGGGAGGCAGCAGGGGGGAAUAUUGCACAAUGGGGGAAACCCUGAUGCAGCGACGCCGCGUGAGUGAAGAAGUAUUUCGGUAUGUAAAGCUCUAUCAGCAGGGAAGAAAAUGACGGUACCUGACUAAGAAGCCCCGGCUAACUACGUGCCAGCCGCCGCGGUAAAAC
rnacentral:rRNA from 1 species